GUGCCAGCAGCCGCGGUAAGACAGAGGCCUCGAGCGUUAGGCGGAAUCACUGGGCUUAAAGCGUGUGUAGGCGGAUCGUUAAGUGUCUUGUGAAAUCCCACGGCUCAACCGUGGAACGGCUGGGCAUACUGGCGAUCUUGAGCAGCCUAGGGGCGACCGGAACAAACGGUGGAGCGGUGAAAUGCGUAGAUAUCGUUUGGAACGCCGAUGGUGAAAACAGGUCGCUGGGGGCUUGCUGACGCUGAGACACGAAAGCCAGGGGAGCAAACGGGAUUAGAAACCCUUGUAGUCC
rnacentral:rRNA from 1 species